rnacentral:rRNA from 1 species
UACAGAGGUCCCAAGCGUUGUUCGGCUUCCUUGGGCGUAAAGGGUGCGUCGGUGGCGCCGUAAGUCAGGUGUGAAAUUUCGGAGCUUAACUCCGAAACUGCAUUUGAUACUGCGGUGCUUGAGGACUGGAGAGGAGACUGGAAUUUACGGUGUAGCAGUGAAAUGCGUAGAGAUCGUAAGGAAGACCAGUGGCGAAGGCGGUCUCCUGGGGCAUUCUUGACGCUGAGGCGCGAAAGCUGGGGGAGCAAACGGG